rnacentral:rRNA from 1 species
CCAGACUCCUACGGGAGGCAGCAGUGAGGAAUAUUGGUCAAUGGUCGGGAGACUGAACCAGCCAAGCCGCGUGAGGGAUGAAGGUACAGAGUAUCGUAAACCUCUUUUGUCAGGGAACAAAGGCGGGGACGUGUCCCCGGAUGAGUGUACCUGAAGAAAAAGCAUCGGCUAACUCCGUGCCAGCAGCCGCGGUAAUACGGAGGAUGCGAGCGUUAUCCGGAUUUAUUGGGUUUAAAGGGUGCGCAGGCGGUCUGUUCAGCCGGCGGUGAACCCCCGCGCCCACCCCCCGCCCCGCCGUUGAAACUGGCAGUCUCGAGUUGGAGAGAAGUAUGCGGAAUGCGCGGUGUAGCGGUGAAAUGCAUAGAUAUCGCGCAGAACUCCGAUUGCGAAGGCAGCAUGCCGGCUCCACACUGACGCUGAGGCACGAAAGCGUGGGUAUCGAACAGGAUUAGAUACCCGUGUACGU